rnacentral:rRNA from 1 species
AUACGGAGGGGGCAAGCGUUGUUCGGAAUUACUGGGCGUAAAGGGCGCGUAGGCGGGACGUCAAGUCAGGGGUGAAAGGCCUGGGCUCAACCUAGGAACUGCCUUUGAAACUGACGACCUUGAGUACGGGAGAGGAUGGCGGAAUUCCCAGUGUAGAGGUGAAAUUCGUAGAUAUUGGGAAGAACACCGGUUGCGAAGGCGGCCAUCUGGCCCGUUACUGACGCUAAGGCGCGAAAGCGUGGGGAGCAAACAGGAUUAGAUACCCCGGUAGUCC